UACGUAGGGAGCAAGCGUUGUUCGGAUUUACUGGGCGUAAAGGGCGCGUAGGCGGCGUGUUAAGUCAGCUGUGAAAUCUCCAAGCUCAACUUGGAACGGCCAGCUGAUACUGAUGUGCUAGAGUGCAGAAGGGGCAAUCGGAAUUCUUGGUGUAGCGGUGAAAUGCGUAGAUAUCAGGAGGAACACCGGUGGCGAAGGCGGGUCUCUGGGCAACAACUGACGCUGAGGAGCGAAAGCUAGGGGAGCGAACAGG
rnacentral:rRNA from 1 species